rnacentral:misc_RNA from 1 species
GAUGAAGAACGCAGCGAAAUGCGAUAAGUAGUGUGAAUUGCAGAAUUCAGUGAAUCAUCGAAUCUUUAAACGCACAUUGCGCCCCUUGGUAUCCCGAGGGGCAUGCCUGUUCGAGCGUCAUUUCACCACUCAAGCCUGGCUUGGUGUUGGGCGACGUCCCCUUUGGGGACGCGCCUCGAAACGCUCGGCGGCGUGGCACCGGCUUUAAGCGUAGCAGAAUCUUUCGCUUUGGAAGUCGGGGCCCCGUCUGCCGGAAGACCUACUCGCAAGGUUGACCUCGGAUCAGGCAGGGAUACCCGCUGAACUUAAGCAUAUCAAUAAGCGGAGGA